AUGUGCACGCCUGUCUCAUCCACUCUCAACUUCUGUGCACUUUUCAUAGGCCGGCUUGUGGGUGCGUUCGCGCACUUGUAGGUGUCGGGCUUAUGCUUUAUUACAAACGAUUCAGUUUUAGAAUGUCAUACUUUGCUAUAACGCAAUUUAUAUACAACUUUCAGCAACGGAUCUCUUGGCUCUCGCAUCGAUGAAGAACGCAGCGAAAUGCGAUAAGUAAUGUGAAUUGCAGAAUUCAGUGAAUCAUCGAAUCUUUGAACGCACCUUGCGCUCCUUGGUAUUCCGAGGAGCAUGCCUGUUUGAGUCUCAUGGAAUUCUCAACCUUCAGCUUUAUUGUUGAAGGCUUGGACUUGGAGGUCGUGCCGGCUCUCGUAGUCGGCUCCUCUGAAAUGCAUUAGUGCGAACGUUACCAGCCGCUUCAGCGUGAUAAUUAUCUGCGUUGCUGCGGAGGGUAUUCUAGUGUUCACGCUUCUAACCGUCUUCGGACAAAUUUCUGAACUCUGAGCUCAAAUCAGGUAGGACUACCCGCUGAACUUAAGCAUAU
rnacentral:rRNA from 1 species